UCGAGGCCCGCCAGUCUAGU
rnacentral:tRNA from 1 species